rnacentral:rRNA from 1 species
UUCGGGGGGACAGGGUGACAGGUGGUGCAUGGUUGUCGUCAGCUCGUGUCGUGAGAUGUUGGGUUAAGUCCCCGCAACGAGCGCAACCCUCGACCUUAGUUGCCAGCAUUCAGUUGGGCACUCUAAGGUGACUGCCGGCUAAAAGUCGGAGGAAGGUGGGGAUGACGUCAAAUCAUCAUGCCCCUUAUGACCUGGGCUACACACGUGCUACAAUGGUUGGUACAACGAGUUGCGAGUCGGUGACGGCGAGCUAAUCUCUUAAAGCCAAUCUCAGUUCGGAUUGUAGGCUGCAACUCGCCUACAUGAAGUCGGAAUCGCUAGUAAUCGCGGAUCAGCACGCCGCGGUGAAUACGUUCCCGGGCCUU